rnacentral:rRNA from 1 species
UACGAAGGGUGCAAACGUCGCUCGGAAUUAUUGGGCGUAAAGCGCACGUAGGCGGCUUUGCAAGUCGGAUGUGAAAUCCCUCGGCUUAACCAAGGAAGUGCAUCCGAAACUGCAGAGCUUGAGUACUUAAGAGGAUCGCGGAAUUCCCGGUGUAGCGGUGGAAUGCGUAGAGAUCGGGAAGAACAUCGGUGGCGAAGGCGGCCUGCUGGGCUCUUGCUGACACUGAUGCGCGACAGCGUGGGGAGCGAACAGG